rnacentral:rRNA from 1 species
AGUGAACGCUGGCGGUAGGCCUAACACAUGCAAGUCGAACGGCAGCACAGUAAGAGCUUGCUCUUACGGGUGGCGAGUGGCGGACGGGUGAGGAAUACAUCGGAAUCUACUUUUUCGUGGGGGAUAACGUAGGGAAACUUACGCUAAUACCGCAUACGACCUACGGGUGAAAGCAGGGGAUCUUCGGACCUUGCGCGAUUGGAUAAGCCGAUGUCGGAUUAGCUAGUUGGCGGGGUAAAGGCCCACCAAGGCGACGAUCCGUAGCUGGUCUGAGAGGAUGAUCAGCCACACUGGAACUGAGACACGGUCCAGACUCCUACGGGAGGCAGCAGUGGGGAAUAUUGGACAAUGGGCGCAAGCCUGAUCCAGCCAUACCGCGUGGGUGAAGAAGGCCUUCGGGUUGUAAAGCCCUUUUGUUGGGAAAGAAAAGCAGCAGGUUAAUACCCCGCUGUUCUGACGGUACCCAAAGAAUAAGCACCGGCUAACUUCGUG